UACGAAGGGGGCUAGCGUUGCUCGGAAUCACUGGGCGUAAAGCGCACGUAGGCGGCUUGUUAAGUCAGGGGUGAAAUCCUGGAGCUCAACUCCAGAACUGCCUUUGAUACUGGCGAGCUUGAGUCCGGGAGAGGUGAGUGGAACUGCGAGUGUAGAGGUGAAAUUCGUAGAUAUUCGCAAGAACACCAGUGGCGAAGGCGGCUCACUGGCCCGGUACUGACGCUGAGGUGCGAAAGCGUGGGGAGCAAACAGGG
rnacentral:rRNA from 1 species